rnacentral:rRNA from 1 species
UGGGGAAUUUUGCGCAAUGGGGGAAACCCUGACGCAGCAACGCCGCGUGGAGGAUGAAGUCCCUUGGGACGUAAACUCCUUUCGACCGGGAAGAUACUGACGGUACCGGAUGAAGAAGCACCGGCUAACUCUGUGCCAGCAGCCGCGGUAAUACAGAGGGUGCGAGCGUUGUUCGGAAUUAUUGGGCGUAAAGGGCGCGUAGGCGGCGCGGUAUGUCACCUGUGAAAUCUCCUGGCUCAACUGGGAGCUUGCAGGCGAAACUGCCGUGCUGGAGUGUGGGAGAGGUGCGUGGAAUUCCUGGUGUAGCGGUGAAAUGCGUAGAUAUCAGGAGGAACACCUGUGGCGAAAGCGGCGCACUGGACCACAACUGACGCUGAGGCGCGAAAGCUAGGGGAGCAAACAGGAUUAGAUACCCCCGUAGUCC